rnacentral:rRNA from 1 species
CCCCUAGUAACUGCGAGUGAAGCGGGAAAAGCUCAAAUUUAAAAUCUGGCAGUCUUUGGCUGUCCGAGUUGUAAUCUAGAGAAGUGUUAUCCGCGCUGGACCGUGUACAAGUCUCCUGGAAUGGAGCGUCAUAGAGGGUGAGAAUCCCGUCUUUGACACGGACUACCAGGGCUUUGUGAUGCGCUCUCAAAGAGUCGAGUUGUUUGGGAAUGCAGCUCAAAAUGGGUGGUAAAUUCCAUCUAAAGCUAAAUAUUGGCGAGAGACCGAUAGCGAACAAGUACCGUGAGGGAAAGAUGAAAAGAACUUUGGAAAGAGAGUUAAACAGUACGUGAAAUUGCUGAAAGGGAAACGCUUGAAGUCAGUCGCGUUAUCCAGGGAUCAGCCUUGCUUUUGCUUGGUGCACUUUCUGGUUGACGGGUCAGCAUCAAUUUUGACUAUUGGAAAAAGAUCAGGGGAAUGUGGCAUCUUUGGAUGUGUUAUAGCCCUUGGUUGCAUACAAUGGUUGGGAUUGAGGAACUCAGCACGCCGCAAGGCCGGGUUUAAACCACGUACGUGCUUAGGAUGCUGGCAUAAUGGCUUUAAUCGACCCGUCUUGAAACACGGACCAAGGAGUCUAACAUACCUGCGAGUGUUUGGGUGGAAAACCCGAGCGCGUAAUGAAAGUGAAAGUUGAGAUCCCUGUCGUGGGGAGCAUCGACGCCCAGACCAGACCUUUUGUGACGGUUCUGCGGUAGAGCAUGUAUGUUGGGACCCGAAAGAUGGUGAACUAUGCCUGAAUAGGGUGAAGCCAGAGGAAACUCUGGUGGAGGCUCGUAGCGAUUCUGACGUGCA